rnacentral:rRNA from 1 species
UACAGAGGGUGCAAGCGUUAAUCGGAAUUACUGGGCGUAAAGCGUGCGUAGACGGUAGCGUAAGUCGGGUGUGAAAGCCCCGGGCUCAACCUGGGAAUUGCAUUCGAGACUGCUCUGCUAGGGUGCGGAAGAGGGGAGCGGAAUUUCCGGUGUAGCGGUGAAAUGCGUAGAUAUCAGGAGGAACACCUGUGGUGUAGACGGCUUUCUGGACCAUAGCUGACGCUGAGACACGAAAGCGUGGGUAGCAAACAGG